rnacentral:rRNA from 1 species
AGAGUUUGAUCCUGGCUCAGGAUGAACGCUAGCUACAGGCUUAACACAUGCAAGUCGAGGGGAAACGACAUCGAAAGCUUGCUUUUGAUGGGCGUCGACCGGCGCACGGGUGAGUAACGCGUAUCCAACCUGCCCACCACUUGGGGAUAACCUUGCGAAAGUAAGACUAAUACCCAAUGAUAUCUCUAGAAGACAUCUGAAAGAGAUUAAAGAUUUAUCGGUGAUGGGUGGGGAUGCGUCUGAUUAGCUUGUUGGCGGGGUAACGGGCCCACCAAGGCAACGAUCAGUAGGGGUUCGUGAGAGGAAGGUCCCCCACCAUUGGAACUGAGACACGGUCCAACUCCUACGGGAGGGCAGCA